rnacentral:misc_RNA from 1 species
AAGUCGUAACAAGGUUUCCGUAGGUGAACCUGCGGAAGGAUCAUUAUUGAAUAAACUUGGUUGGGUUGUUGCUGGCUCCUAGGAGCAUGUGCACGCCUAAUCCAUUUUUAACCACCUGUGCACCUUUUGUAGACUUGAAUAGCCUUCGAGACAAAUGUACUCGGUUUGAGAAUUGCUGUGUGAAAAGCUCAGCUCUUCUUGUGUUCAAGUCUAUGUUUUAUAUUUAUACCCCAUAAGAAUGUAUUAGAAUGUAAUGAACAGGCCAUCGUGCCUUUAAACACAAAUACAACUUUCAACAACGGAUCUCUUGGCUCUC